GGAAGCGGCAGAGGAACCGAGAGAGACAGCAGCUGAGGGUCCAGGAGCGUCUGUCCAUCAUCCAGAGCAGAAAGGCAGAUGAGGAUUUAUUUGGGCCGAAGAACACGGACAGGAUGAGAUACCUCAGUAAAGACCUACCACAAGAAGACAAGAGUCGGCAGAAGACGUUGGUCAGAGAACAACUGGAGCAGCUCAGAAGGGAACGAUCUUUUAUCAUGCAGUGCAGAAG